AUUGGCCGGGGUGAAAUUUACAAAUAAGAGGCAAUUUACGGAAUGAAGUGCAUAUUUGAACUUCUAAAUUAUAAUAAUUGCUAGAAUUGAAGUUUCAGCGGCUAGAAUUGAGUUUCACUUAUUUAAAAAAAAUCAGUUGAGUAGCCUUGAUCUUGAUAGUAUGACGUAAUGACUUGCAGGAGCGUAUACAUGCUUCCUCUGAGCUAGCUUAAAGUGGGGUUGUCAUUUUAGCAGGGACCUCAGGAAAACUGGAACAGUGAAGAAACGGUACGGAUGGCACAUAUAUUUGAGCUUAUUUUCAGAUUUUACAGUGUUACUGGAGUAUGGAACAGCGUAGCAGUUGGGGCUAUAAUUUUCAGGAAAUUUUCUGCAGCGAUUUAAAAAUUGGCAAAUUUAGCUUUUUUCGUCAUCAGUUUCCGCGACCGGGAGAGCACAAAAUUCAGGUGUGUGGUUACAGACUUUUGUGUGAGGUUUUGAAAGUUAGGUAGGCGACUCUAGGCUGAGGAGCUCAGAAAACUGUUUACUGCCUCCUUAAGAGCAAAUCUUGAAAAUUUGUGUGUGGUUACAGACUUUUGUGUGAGGUUUUGAAAGUUAGGUAGGCGACUCUAGGCUGAGGAGCUCAGAAAACUGUUUACUGCCUCCUAAAUGUCAUUA